UGGGGAAUAUUGCACAAUGGGCGCAAGCCUGAUGCAGCCAUGCCGCGUGUGUGAAGAAGGCCUUCGGGUUGUAAAGCACUUUCAGCGAGGAGGAAGGUGGUGAGCUUAAUACGCUCAUCAAUUGACGUUACUCGCAGAAGAAGCACCGGCUAACUCCGUGCCAGCAGCCGCGGUAAUACGGAGGGUGCAAGCGUUAAUCGGAAUUACUGGGCGUAAAGCGCACGCAGGCGGUUUGUUAAGUCAGAUGUGAAAUCCCCGGGCUCAACCUGGGAACUGCAUUUGAAACUGGCAAGCUAGAGUCUCGUAGAGGGGGGUAGAAUUCCAGGUGUAGCGGUGAAAUGCGUAGAGAUCUGGAGGAAUACCGGUGGCGAAGGCGGCCCCCUGGACGAAGACUGACGCUCAGGUGCGAAAAGCGUGGGGAGCAAAACAGGAUUAGAUACCCUGGUAGUCCACGCUGUAAAACGAUGUCGAUUUUGGAGGUUGUGCCCUUGAGGCGUGGCUUCCGGAGCUAACGCGUUAAAUCGACCGCCUGGGGAGUACGGCCGCAAGGUUAAAAACUC
rnacentral:rRNA from 1 species